rnacentral:rRNA from 1 species
CAGCAGCCACGGUAAUACGGAGGGGGCUAGCGUUGUUCGGAAUUACUGGGCGUAAAGCGCACGUAGGCGGCUUGGUAAGUUAGAGGUGAAAGCCUGGAGCUCAACUCCAGAAUUGCCUUUAAGACUGCCGAGCUAGCAGGUGAGAGAGGUAAGUGGAAUUCCGAGUGUAGAGGUGAAAUUCGUAGAUAUUCGGAAGAACACCAGUGGCGAAGGCGGCUUACUGGCUCAUACUGGACGCUGAGGUGCGAAAGCGUGGGGAGCAAACAGGAUUAGAUACCCGUGUAGUCCCUGUCUCUUAUAC